rnacentral:rRNA from 1 species
CACUAUCGUUAACUGAAUACAUAGGUUAACGAGGCGAACCGGGGGAACUGAAACAUCUAAGUACCCCGAGGAAAAGAAAUCAACCGAGAUUCCCCCAGUAGCGGCGAGCGAACGGGGAGCAGCCCAGAGUCUGAAUCAGCUUGUGUGUUAGUGGAAGCGUCUGGAAAGUCGCACGGUACAGGGUGACAGUCCCGUACACGAAAGCACACAGGCUGUGAACUCGAAGAGUAGGGCGGGACACGUGGUAUCCUGUCUGAAUAUGGGGGGACCAUCCUCCAAGGCUAAAUACUCCUGACUGACCGAUAGUGAACCAGUACCGUGAGGGAAAGGCGAAAAGAACCCCGGCGAGGGGAGUGAAAAAGAACCUGAAACCGUGUACGUACAAGCAGUGGGAGCACCUUCGUGGUGUGACUGCGUACCUUUUGUAUAAUGGGUCAGCGACUUAUAUUCUGUAGCAAGGUUAACCGUAUAGGGGAGCCGAAGGGAAACCGAGUCUUAACUGGGCGUUAAGUUGCAGGGUAUAGACCCGAAACCCGGUGAUCUAGCCAUGGGCAGGUUGAAGGUUGGGUAACACUAACUGGAGGACCGAACCGACUAAUGUUGAAAAAUUAGCGGAUGACUUGUGGCUGGGGGUGAAAGGCCAAUCAAACCGGGAGAUAGCUGGUUCUCCCCGAAAGCUAUUUAGGUAGCGCCUCGUGAACUCAUCUUCGGGGGUAGAGCACUGUUUCGGCUAGGGGGCCAUCCCGGCUUACCAACCCGAUGCAAACUACGAAUACCGAAGAAUGUUAUCACGGGAGACACACGGCGGGUGCUAACGUCCGUCGUGAAGAGGGAAACAACCCAGACCGCCAGCUAAGGUCCCAAAGUCAUGGUUAAGUGGGAAACGAUGUGGGAAGGCACAGACAGCCAGGAUGUUGGCUUAGAAGCAGCCAUCAUUUAAAGAAAGCGUAAUAGCUCACUGGUCGAGUCGGCCUGCGCGGAAGAUGUAACGGGGCUAAACCAUGCACCGAAGCUGCGGCAGCGACGCUUAUGCGUUGUUGGGUAGGGGAGCGUUCUGUAAGCCGUUGAAGGUGUGCUGUGAGGCAUGCUGGAGGUAUCAGAAGUGCGAAUGCUGACAUAAGUAACGAUAAAGCGGGUGAAAAGCCCGCUCGCCGGAAGACCAAGGGUUCCUGUCCAACGUUAAUCGGGGCAGGGUGAGUCGACCCCUAAGGCGAGGCCGAAAGGCGUAGUCGAUGGGAAACAGGUUAAUAUUCCUGUACUUGGUGUUACUGCGAAGGGGGGACGGAGAAGGCUAUGUUAGCCGGGCGACGGUUGUCCCGGUUUAAGCAUGUAGGCGGAGGUUCCAGGUAAAUCCGGUACCUUUUUAACGCUGAGGUGUGAUGACGAGGCACUACGGUGCUGAAGUAACAAAUGCCCUGCUUCCAGGAAAAGCCUCUAAGCAUCAGGUAACA